rnacentral:misc_RNA from 1 species
CAAAACGAGUAUUCGUACUCUAUAACCCUUUGUGAACAUACCUUUGUCAGUUGCUUCGGCGCGGCGGCCCCUGGGAGGGGCCCCGGGGCCCGGCCUGAGCCGGGCGCCCGCCGGAGCGGCGCAACCAAAACUCUUGCUGUACCCAGUGGCACGUCCGAGUACAAAACAAAAAACAAGUUA